UACGUAGGGUGCAAGCGUUAAUCGGAAUUACUGGGCGUAAAGCGUGCGCAGGCGGUCCGUUAAGACAGAUGUGAAAUCCCCGGGCUUAACCUGGGAACUGCAUUUGUGACUGCAUGGCUGGAGUGCGGCAGAGGGGGAUGGAAUUCCGCGUGUAGCAGUGAAAUGCGUAGAUAUGCGGAGGAACACCGAUGGCGAAGGCAAUCCCCUGGGCCUGCACUGACGCUCAUGCACGAAAGCGUGGGGAGCAAACAGG
rnacentral:rRNA from 1 species